rnacentral:rRNA from 1 species
GAUGAACGCUGGCGGCGUGCCUAAUACAUGCAAGUCGAGCGAACGGACGCGAAUCUUGCUUCUCUGUUGUUAGCGGCGGACGGGUGAGUAACACGUGGACAACCUACCUAUCAGACUUGGAUAACUGCGGGAAACCGGAGCUAAUACCGGAUCAUCUUUUGAACCGCAUGGUUCAAAAGUGAAAGACGGUCUUGCUGUCACUUCUAGAUGGCUACGCGCUGCAUUAGCUAGUUGUUAAGGUAACGGCUUACCACGGCAACGAUGCAUAGCCGAGCUGAGAGGGUGAUGGGCGACAGUGGAACUGAGACACGGUCCAGACUCCUACGGGAGGCAGCAGUAGGGACUCUUCCGCAAUGGGCGAAAGCCUGACGGAGCAACGCCGCGCGAGUGAUGAAGGUCUUCGGAUCGUAAAACUCUGUUAUUAGGGAAGAACAUAUGUGUAAGGAACUGUGCACAUCGUGACGGUACCUAAUCAGAAAGCCACGGCUAACUACGUG